CCUACGGGUGGCAGCAGUGAGGAAUAUUGGUCAAUGGCCGGAAGGCUGAACCAGCCAAGCCGCGUGAAGGACGAAGGUGCCAAGCAUUGUAAACUUCUUUUGUCAAGGGACAAAAUCAGGCUCGAGAGCCUGACCGAGGGUACUUGAAGAAAAAGCAUCGGCUAACUCCGUGCCAGCAGCCGCGGUAAUACGGAGGAUGCGAGCGUUAUCCGGAUUUAUUGGGUUUAAAGGGUGCGUAGGCGGGCUGUUAAGUCAGCGGUAAAAGCCCGGGGCUCAACCUCGGCGCUACCGCCAAAACUAUUAGACUAGAGUGCAGGAGGGGUAAGUGGAAUUCCUAGUGUAGCGGUGGAAUGCGUAGAUAUUAGGAGGAACAUCAGGGGCGAAGGCGACUUACUGGACUGUAACUGACACUGAGGCACGAAAGCGUGGGGAGCAAACAGGAUUAGAUACCCUUGUAGUC
rnacentral:rRNA from 1 species